GGCGAGUUUACAACUCUGAAUAAAAUAAAAAAUCAAAAUUCUGAAAAAGCUCUUUUUGGCAUUAUUUUUCUAGAUAUUAAGCAGAAAGUGUAUUUUAUAAAAAAUGUACUUAAACAAAAACAAACAAAAAAAAGCAAAGCUGUGAGAAAAAUUCUCGUUUUUCUUUGGUAUAAUUUUUUGAAAAUGAAUAAUUAUUUAUAGAUGCUCCUCGAGUUUGUCUUGCGUACUGUUUCCGGAACACCCCAUUAACCCCCCGAAAUCUUUCCAUAUAAAACGAGGUUCGUUUGUAGGAAAUUAUUUGAAUCUUGUUCGAGUAAUACUCUCCUAUCCUACAGAUCAUAUUUAUGCAUACUGUCGUACAACUCUGUGUACUCCUCUCUCACCAAAUCGUAUACAUCAGCAUACACUUUGCACCUACAAGUCAACAAGAAAAGGUUUGUUUUCAAAGCAAAUAAUAUUUACCUACUGUUGUGAGUAAUAAGAUCCCUACAUCUAUGUACCUAUCCAACAGAGUCAAACCUUUGGUCAGAGUUUCGAUCAUCCUAUCUCGCCUAGAUUUAUUCAUAUAAAAAAAUAUUUGAAAGCCUUGGAGUUUAUAUUUUGAUAUUAAUUAAA
rnacentral:lncRNA from 1 species